rnacentral:lncRNA from 1 species
UCAGUUCAGUUCAGACACGGAUGGUGACUGCAGUCGCCUCAAUACUCUGAAUAUGAGCAAUUGCUUAAGUAUUUUCCAAGGUAGCUGGACCACUUUGUCCUCUUCCCAGCAGCCUGGAUGCUGGGUACACACCUGCGUUUGGGGAGUGGCUGAACUGGGGAAGGCUUUAGUGGGCAGUGUGAGUAUAGGAAUGCUUCAGUAACUUUCUUUGGCCAUGACACAGGAGAGCAAUGGUCAGCAGAGUCAACUGGCAGUGGAGCCCCCCUCAGACCAUGGGGUCUAUCCUUUCCAGUUCAGCAAGUAGUGAGGUCCGGACUUAAAGAAGCUUAUGCACUCCUCCUUGGGCUGUUUUCCCAUUGCUGAUGGAACCUGAGGAACCAUGUUGUUUUUCGAAUGUGCUACUACAUUCAAGAUCAAAAAGACUUUUUUCUUUUGC